rnacentral:lncRNA from 1 species
AACCAACUCCUUCUGAGAAGAAAUUUCUCCUAAUUUCUAACCUAAUACUUAAUGAGGAUUAUCUUACAGAGGGCCUGCCCCAAGGCUAAGAAUUUAAGUUCCCAUGUGGGUGUGAUGAUUGAAAUAGGUUUCAAAGUACUGAACACAAUCUAACUGAACUAUGUCUUUCCACCAAAACAUGCAUUCAGCUAAUUCCUGCCCCUAUUACUUAAUAGCUGUGAGUUCUCUCCAAGUAAAUUUGUCCACUGACUCUAUUCAAACUGCAAGUGAAAGGCCAUAGUAGAGUAGCUAACACUUAAGGUUUACAUUCAGUACUAGGACGAGUUUCACUGAAGGAGUCUGUAUUCCAACUGCUUUGGCUACAGAUAGAAUUUACCUUAUUUUAAUGCUAACAAAAUACCACUGCUUUGAAGUUACUCAAAGGAUUUACAACUGCUUGCCCCUGUAAUACCGCUAUUCAAAGUAAUAGCAAAAAGUCCUCCAAAGUCAAUAUACAAUUGCUAUGACUCUGGUAAUCUCUAUAUUCCACCAUGUUUUCUCGUGCAUCAGAAGUUACAGUGCAAGAGGUGAAACGGCGAAAAAACAGAUAGGAAUUACCAAAACUGAAGGACUGGAGCCAGAAUCAUUUCAAGUAUAAUACAAUACAUUUGAAGACAGAGGACCAGCCAGAGGACUGAGGCAAAAGUGGAAUUCCCCAUCAGAUGAGAUGAAGAAUAUAGGAUUUCCCAUUUUCCACCUACGGAUUUCCUGAUUACCUGGUGAUUCCAGAUGUACAAGUAAAAGCAAAAGCUGGGAGUGUUUUAUUUUGGGCAUGAAGCCAGUGUGGUGUUCCAAAUUUAGACAGUAACUUUUUGGCCUUGUUAGACUCUGUUCUGUUAUCAUAGCUAGAGCACUGGUGGUAAGAUUUAUCUAUGCUGCCUAAGUAUGUGCAUCAUAACAGUAAGAUUUAAACACAGUGAGGGUUAGAAUUCAUGAAGGUUUUGCAGAUUUUUUUUUUCUGAUUUGUCAGAAGCGAUGAUGGCUUAAAAAUUGUUUUUCACUCAUAAUUAAUAGUUUUGAUGGGUCACUGCCACCAAAUAUAAAGUAGAGAGCAUUAGCAAGGAGAUUAUACACAUGUCUGUGUUAAAAAGACAGAAUUGUAUGCAUUUGAAUGCACUCCUGUAAUUAAACAUAGUCUCAGUAUGUUUCCAAGCAGUAGGUAUGACAUCCACUUCGUUUGCUGACCCGUUGUGUUCAGAUGAAAUUUUAUUGUCGCAGGGUUAAUAUGGGUAUUUGCCAUGGAAGACUUUUGCUGCUGAGAGGCACUAAGGCCACUGUAUUUUUUUUGCUGAAUACAUGUAUUGCUGGUGCACUCUGAACGAUGUUAUAAAAUAUGCCAAAAAAAAAAUAAUAAUAAUAAUAUCUGGAAA